UCGGGAAGUAGCUCAGCUUGGUAGAGCACAUGGUUUGGGACCAUGGGGUCGCAGGUUCGAAUCCUGUCUUCCCGACC
rnacentral:tRNA from 1 species